AACCCACUCAGGUUCCCUUCCACGCUGUAGAAGCUCUGUUCUUUCACUCUUCGCAAUAAAUCUUGCUGCUGCUCACUCUUUGGGUCCGCACCACCUUUAUGAGCUGUAACACUCACCGCAAAGAUCUGCAGCUUCACUCCUGAAGUCAGCGAGACCACGAACCUACCAGAAGGAAUAAACUCCAGACACAUCCAAACAUCAGAAGGAACAAACUCCAGACACACCAUCUUUAAGAACUGUAACACUCACCGUGAGGGUCCACAGCUUCAUUCUUGAAGUCAGUGAGACCAAGAACCCACCAAUACUGGACACAUUUUGGCGACCACGAAGGGACUAUCGCCUAUCACCAAGCGGUGAGACUAUCGCCUAUCACCAAGCGAAUCGAGGCCAUCAAGCUACAGAUGGUCUUAAAAAUGGAACCCCAAAUGAGUUCAACUAACAACUUCUACUGAGGACCCCUGGACCGACCCACUGGCCCUUCCACUGGCCUAAAGAGUUCCCCUCUGGAGGACACUACAAUUGCAGGGCCCCUUCUUCCAGCAGGAAGUAGCUAGAGUGGUCAUCGGCCAAAUUCCCAACAGCAGUUGGGGUGUUCUGUUUAGAGGGGUGAUUGAGAGGUGAAGCCGGCUGGGCUUCUUGGUUGAGUAGGGACUUGGAGAACUUUUCUGUCUAGCUAAAGGAUUGCAAAUGCACCAAUCAGCGCUCUGUGUCUAGCUAAAGGUUUGUAAAUGCACCAAUCAGCGCUCUGUGUCUAACUAAUCGCGUAGGGGACUUAGAGAACUUUCCUGUCUAGCUAAAGGAUUGUAAAUGCACCAAUCAGCACUCUGUGUCUAGCUAAAGGUUUGUAAAUGCACCAAUCAGCACUCUGUCAAAACGGACCAAUCAGCACUCUGUAAAACGGACCAAUCAGCACUCUGUAAAGUGGACCAAUCAGCUCUCUGUAAAAUGGACCAAUCAGCAGGAUGUAGGUGGGGCCAAAUAAGGGAAUAAAAGCAGGACACCGCAGCCAGCAGCGGCAACGUGCUUGGGUCCCCUUCCAUGCUGUGGAAACUUUGUUCUUUCACUCUUCCCAGUAAAUCCUGCUGCUGCUCACUCUUUGGGUGCGCACUGCCUUUAUGAGCUGUAACACUCACCGCAAAGGUCUGCAGUUUCACUCCUGAAGUCAGCGAGACCAAAAGCCCACCAGAAGCAAGAAACUCUAGACAUGUCUGAAUAUCAGAAGGAACAAACUCUGGACACACCAUCUUUCAGAACCGUAACACUCACCGGAGGGUCUGUGGCUUCAUUCUUGGAGUCAGCAAGACCAAGAACCCACCAAUCUGGACACAGGAUGUGUUAUACAAAACUUAUAGGAGGCUAUUACUUUGGACUGACUUCCUACACCAGGCCCAACAAACUAAACCAAAAUGGAGUCACUCAUGCUAAAGUUUUACGUGAUCAAAAAGAAACUAAGUUGUUUAUCUGACCUUCUACAAAAUCAGGAGAGAGAGAGAUGGGAUAGCCAAGUCUCCCACCAGGUCAGUUUUAGCCAUCAUGAUAAGGAUGUCCUCUCUGCUUUAACCUUUACAAGAAAAGUAACUUUGGGCUGAGUGCGGUGGUGGCUCAUGCCUGUAAUCCCAGCACUUUGGGAGGCCAAGGCAGGAGGAUUGCUUGAGUUCAGGAGUUCAAAUCCAGCCUGGCCAACAAGGCAAGACCCUGUCUCUGGAAAAAAAAAAUUAGCUGGGCAUGGUGGCACACACCUGUGAUCCUAGCUCCUCAGGAGGCUGAGGUGGGAAGAUUGCUUGAUCCCAGGAAGUUGAGGUUGCAGUGAGCUAUGAUCGCACCACUGCACUCCAGCCUGGGUGACAGAGCAAGACUCAGACUCCAAAAGGAAACUUUAAAAUGACCAAUCCAAGUUUUCUUUUCUUUUUUUCUUUUUUUUUGAGUCGGAGUUUUGCUCUGCUCUCCCAGGCUGGAGUGCAAUGGUGUGAUCUUCGCUCACUGCAACCUCCGCCUCCCUGGUUCAAGUGAUUCUCCUGCCUCAACCUCCUGAGUAGCUGGGAUUACAGGCACCUGCCACCGCGCCCGGCUAAUAUUUUUGUAUUGUUAGUAGAGAUAGGGUUUCAUCAUCAUUAUCAUGUUGGUCAAGCUGGUCUCGAACUCCUGACCUCGGGUGAUCUGCCUGCCUCGGCCUCCAAAGUGCUGGGAUUACAGGCAUGAGCCACUGCACCUGACCUCCACGUUUUAUUUUCUGUUUGUGCUUUACUUGGCCCUUUUUCUGCCUGUAAAACCAACCUACCUGCUCAGCUCAUGGGAAAAUUAGUUUCAUUUUGUGAAAUGAAGUGUUGCCCGAUUGUAGAAUUGCAAAUAAAAUCAAUUAAGAUCUUUAAACUAAA